UUAAAUUGAAGAGUUUGAUCAUGGCUCAGAUUGAACGCUGGCGGCAGGCCUAACACAUGCAAGUCGAACGGUAGCACAGAGAGCUUGCUCUCGGGUGACGAGUGGCGGACGGGUGAGUAAUGUCUGGGAAACUGCCUGAUGGAGGGGGAUAACUACUGGAAACGGUAGCUAAUACCGCAUAAUGUCGCAAGACCAAAGAGGGGGACCUUCGGGCCUCUUGCCAUCAGAUGUGCCCAGAUGGGAUUAGCUAGUAGGUGGGGUAACGGCUCACCUAGGCGACGAUCCCUAGCUGGUCUGAGAGGAUGACCAGCCACACUGGAACUGAGACACGGUCCAGACUCCUACGGGAGGCAGCAGUGGGGAAU
rnacentral:rRNA from 1 species